rnacentral:lncRNA from 1 species
AUGAAAGAUGUUAGUUCUUUUUUACAAUUGUUGUAUAUAAACAACUCAGAUAUAUGUAUGUUAACUAGAGAAUGUUUAGAAUCAUUAAAAUGUUUCGAUUGGUUUGGAUAUAAGUAUUUGAAAAAUAGGAGUGAAGAAGAACAAACUGUUUUGUUAUAUAAAUUUAACAGUACUACUGGUCAAUUAAAAAAUAACAAAACAGUUAUCGAAAACGAAAUUAUAAAAAUUAUGAACUUAAUUUUAUUUCAUUUGAAUGAUAUAUAUCGAAUUAGUAGUAAAAAAGGAGCUGAUAGAGAAGAUACAAAACAUAUAUUUGAAAAAUUAUAUUAUAAUGUAAUAAUACUUUAUGACCCAUUAUAUAAUACUUAUAUAUAUGAUCAAAUUGAGAAUAAAAAAAAAAAAUUAUUUUUUAAAUAUAAAAAUAAGGACGAAAAACAUAUUAUAAUGAAAAACCUUAUAGAACAAAUCGAAGUGUUAAUAAAAAAUUUUAAUUACCUUUUUUCUUUUGUUUUUGAUAAGGACAAAUGGGACAUACAUUUUAUAUUUUUUUUUAUUGAUGCUUUGACUUGUAUCCAACAAAUAAGCAAAAAUGGGAAUAAAAAUGGGAAUAGUGUUUUUUUAAAAGAAUUUUUUUAUGUUAUAAAACAUUUGUUUAUUCAAGCGACUUAUGUUUUCGAAAGUAUGGAAGAGAGAAAUGGAUCGACUAAAGCAAGCGUGAAUGAAAAAAAAAACGUGUUACUUAUUAUUGACCUGAUUCGAGCUGAAAAUGAAAUUAUUUUUAACGUAAAGGAUAAAAUAUUUUUAUUUGAGCAUAAGAGGCUAAAUAGACUGGUUGAACAUAUUAAGGAGUGUACUAGCAGUAGUGGAAGUGGCAGUGGUAACAGUAGUGGAAGUGGCAAAGACAACAGUAGUGGCAGUGGCAACAGUAGUGGUAGUGGCAGUGGCAACAGUAGUGGUAGUGACAAUAAAAAAAAAAACGAAUUGUUGAUACUUUUAAAAUAUUUAUAUAUAACAAUUAUAAAUUUUUUAAUGCCAAGUAAACAAAAAAAAUGGCCAUUCUUUGAUUCAGGUAACUUUUUUUUUUUUAAAAUAUUAUUACUGAGAGUUAUUUGUUAUUUUGACAUUUGUUUUGGUUGUUAUGGGUGUGAAAGAGAGAUUAUAAACGAAGGCAUGCAUGAAGGAAAUAUUGAAAGUAACAACUUAGACAAAAAAAUAAGUAAUAACUUAAGCAAUAACAUAAGUAAUAACAAAAACAAUAACACAAGUAAUUACUUAAGCAAUAACACUAACCCGAAUACACACCCAAGUAAGUUCUUUUUGUUCAGUGUUUUUUUUAGAAGAAUAAAAAAAAAAUUAAAAUGUAAUUUGCACUUGAAAGAAUUAAGUAAUAAAAAUAUUUUUGCAGAUAUGGUAAUAAAUUAUAAAAAAAAAGUAAACUGGUUAAACAUGAAGAUAAAACCAAAACUAAUAUCUUAUGAAAUGGCAACAUAUACAACUUUUUCUUUUGACAUUUUAAACAAGAUUGUUUUAUGUGAUAAUGUAUUAAAUGAUGUAUACGAUACAAAUAAAUAUAAAAAUGUUAUUAUAAACUUAUGUAAAAACCAACUUUUUAGUUAUUUUUUUUUUUUUACCUGCAAAAAAUACAGGUAA